rnacentral:lncRNA from 1 species
UGUGGUUGCAAGAGGGUGACAGAAAUAUAAAAUUCUUCCACAUCUCAACAUCCAACAGAUUGAGGAAGAAUCAGAUUAUGGAGAUAUAUCACAAUGACAAAGUUCUCAAAUCUUAAAUAGAAAUUGAGUAGAUCUUCCUAUCUUAUUUUCAGUCCCUUCUUGGUACACUGGGAGUUAAGCUUGCAGACAUCGAUUGAGAGAAUCUUUGCUCUGGUCCUCCACUAGAUUUGAUGUCGCUCAUCUCUCCAUUCACUGCUAAGAAAAUCAAGACAACAGUUUUUAGCUUAGCCAAAAACAAAUCCCCCGGCCC